rnacentral:rRNA from 1 species
AUACAACUUUCAGCAACGGAUCUCUUGGCUCUCGCAUCGAUGAAGAACGCAGCGAAAUGCGAUAAGUAAUGUGAAUUGCAGAAUUCAGUGAAUCAUCGAAUCUUUGAACGCACCUUGCGCUCCUUGGUAUUCCGAGGAGCAUGCCUGUUUGAGUGUCAC